rnacentral:rRNA from 1 species
GACGAACGCUGGCGGCGUGCCUAAUACAUGCAAGUAGGACGCAGUUGCGAACGGGUGAGUAACGCGUAGGUAACUACCUAUUAGAGGGGGAUAACUAUUGGAAACGAUAGCUAAUACCGCAUACUAGUAGAUGGACCUGCGUUGUAUUAGCUAGUAGGUAGGGUAAUGGACUACCUAGGCAACGAUACAUAGCCUACCUGGGAGGGGUAUCGGCCACACUGGGGCUGAGACAAGGCCCAGACUCCUACGGGGGGCAGCAGUAGGGAAACUUCGGCAAUGGGGGGAACCCUGACCGAGCAACGCCGCGUGAGUGAAGAAGGUUUUCAGAUCGUAAAGCUCUGUUGAUAAGGAAGCGGUACUUAACCAGAAAGGGACGGCUAACUACGUGCCAGCCGCCGCGGUAAUUC